rnacentral:rRNA from 1 species
UGGGGAAUUUUGGACAAUGGGCGAAAGCCUGAUCCAGCAAUGCCGCGUGUGUGAAGAAGGCCUUCGGGUUGUAAAGCACUUUUGUCCGGAAAGAAAUCCUUGGCUCUAAUACAGUCGGGGGAUGACGGUACCGGAAGAAUAAGCACCGGCUAACUACGUGCCAGCAGCCGCGGUAAUACGUAGGGUGCAAGCGUUAAUCGGAAUUACUGGGCGUAAAGCGUGCGCAGGCGGUUUGCUAAGACCGAUGUGAAAUCCCCGGGCUCAACCUGGGAACUGCAUUGGUGACUGGCAGGCUAGAGUAUGGCAGAGGGGGGUAGAAUUCCACGUGUAGCAGUGAAAUGCGUAGAGAUGUGGAGGAAUACCGAUGGCGAAGGCAGCCCCCUGGGCCAAUACUGACGCUCAUGCACGAAAGCGUGGGGGAGCAAACAGGAUUAGAUACCCUGGUAGUCCACGCCCUAAACGAUGUCAACUAGUUGUUGGGGGAUUCAUUUCCUUAGUAACGUAGCUAACGCGUGAAGUUGACCGCCUGGGGGAGUACGGGUCGCAA